GAUGAAGAACGCAGUGAAAUGCGAUACGUAAUGUGAAUUGCAAAUUCAGUGAAUCAUCGAGUCUUUGAACGCACAUUGCGCCCCCUGGUAUUCCGGGGGGCAUGCCUGUCCGAGCGUCAUUGCUGCCCUCAAGCACGGCUUGUGUGUUGGGCCCCGUCCUCCGAUCCCGGGGGACGGGCCCGAAAGGCAGCGGCGGCACCGCGUCCGGUCCUCGAGCGUAUGGGGCUUUGUCACCCGCUCUGUAGGCCCGGCCGGCGCUUGCCGAUCAACCCAAAUUUUUAUCCAGGUUGACCUCGGAUCAGGUAGGGAUACCCGCUGAACUUAAGCAUAUCAAUAAGCGAGGA
rnacentral:misc_RNA from 1 species